rnacentral:misc_RNA from 1 species
CUGUCCAGCUGUCCAGGGCGCCCUGGACAGCUGGACAG